GGCGAGAUGGCCGAGCGGUCUAAGGCGCCAGACUAAGGACCAGCUCAUUCGAUGAGCAUCUAUAAAUCUGGUCUUUCGGGGCGUGGGUUCGAAUCCCACUCUCGUCA